CGAGUAUUACCCUAUGGUCCCUGGAACCUAUAUUGUCACCAUCACGUGGGGUGGUCAGAACAUCGGGCGCAGUCCCUUCGAGGUGAAGGUGGGCACCGAGUGUGGCAAUCAGAAGGUACGGGCCUGGGGCCCUGGGCUGGAGGGCGGCAUCGUUGGCAAGUCAGCAGACUUUGUGGUGGAGGCUAUCGGGGACGACGUGGGCACGCUGGGUAAGUUGGAGGCUGCAGCAUGGGCACCUGGGGACAGACGAUGGCAAGGACGGCCCACCCUGAGGCUCCAGGGCACUGAGGGGACUGGUGGCUGUUGUCAGGUUUCUCGGUGGAAGGGCCAUCGCAGGCUAAGAUCGAAUGUGACGACAAGGGCGACGGCUCCUGUGAUGUGCGCUACUGGCCGCAGGA
rnacentral:sRNA from 1 species